CAGUCGCCACGGUAAUACGGAGGGUGCGAGCGUUAAUCGGAAUAACUGGGCGUAAAGGGCACGCAGGCGGUGACUUAAGUGAGGUGUGAAAGCCCCGGGCUUAACCUGGGAAUUGCAUUUCAUACUGGGUCGCUAGAGUACUUUAGGGAGGGGUAGAAUUCCACGUGUAGCGGUGAAAUGCGUAGAGAUGUGGAGGAAUACCGAAGGCGAAGGCAGCCCCUUGGGAAUGUACUGACGCUCAUGUGCGAAAGCGUGGGGAGCAAACAGGAUUAGAUACCCGAGUAGUCCCUGUCUCUUAUAC
rnacentral:rRNA from 1 species